UACCCAAAUCCUGCUGGUCCUCCACCAUGGUGUUUCCCUCUAGUUGUGGUUCCUUUUGGCUGCUUUCAGGACUGGAUCUCUUUUGGCUUUGGGCUGUUAUCAUCUAGUAUGGGAGCAGGAAUUUUGUCCUGGUCAGUGUCACUUGUGGGCUGAAAAGCCAUGGUCCCUUGGGCAGGUCUCUGGUGUGGGAAGGCAACUGGAGAACAGAUCUUUUCAUGGCCUCGUUGAAAGAGAUGGACAAAGGCAACCCUGUGAGGCUUGUUCUGACUGUCAAUGGACAGGUAAAAGAACUGACACUCCUCUCUUCUUGUCCAGGGUCCCAAAUGCCACUUCUGAGCCCCAGAAUCUCCCUUUUUGCUCUCCUUUUCCUUCUCUACUACUCCAAAGUAGAGCUGACAUACAUGAAUCUGUUAAUGCAUGUCUGUGCUGAACCUGAAAGCUCUGUGAUGCUCCAGGCCUAUCCUCUGAACACAUUUUUGCCAGAACACCUUGUGUGUGGCAGGAGACAGGCAGCCAACAGCUGUUCACUUCCAGUCCCACUCUCUCCUGGGUCUUUGGCACUUACAUAGCUGUUUUACCUAGAGCUGAAGCCACUGCAUUUAGCAUCUUACAGUGCCUGGCUUUUAUUUUCCUUGCUUGUUUUGUUGGUGUGGGAGAUGAAAGGCAGAUUAUUCGUUGCAGAGAAUCUGUCCCUUGCAGGACAUGAUUUUGCUCUUCCUUUCUGUGGCUGGAGGAUAAUGCACUAAGGAUUCUGUUGCUGUUUCUGCUGCAGCUGCUCCGAGGUGUCUCCAGCAGUACACCUGUCCAUCCCUUCCUUGUACCCGAGACCAGCCAGUCACCAGUGCUUCCAGCAGAUGAUAGGGCCCUUGGCCAGGACCUGGAGGAUCCUACUGAGGUUAAGAGUCAGAGCUCAGAGGUGGCUGCCAGAGCAUCCAGGCCUGUGAAGGAGGACAUCCGGCCACCGCUGAGGACCAUGGUGGUACCCUGUGCUCUGAAGCCCCCAGCUGGAAAGGUGGAAUCCAAUGAGGCCUGGAAGAAGAGUCCUGACCAAGGACCACCACCAAGAGUCCACUCCAAAAAGCCCAGAAAGGUUUUAUUUGAACCCACAACAUCUGAGAGAGAUCUUGAUGAAGAAGAUCUGGCAGUGAAGGAGUUGGAAGGUGAGGAUUUGGUUCCUAGACCCUGGUUUGUCUUAUCAGUCACUCAGUGAUGAUAUUUCUCCCCUUCAACAUCAGAAGCCUCCCAUGUUUCAUCCUGUAUCUCCCCAGUGAUCAAGAAUAACAAGUAGGUCAUGUGUAUGUACUGUUCCUCUUCAUGUAAUUGCCAUCAGUGCUUCCAGUACUGUCAGGCUCCCAAAUAUGUUUCUUUAGCCCCUCUGAAUCUCAGGCCCACCCCUGGGUACAUAGCUCUUUGAGGAAAAACGGUAAGAUAUGAAAUAGACUUCGAUUUUAAAAGUAUUUUUUAGCUUGCUCAGCCAACUGCAGGGGCCUGGGAGGGGAAGGGAGGAGGA